UUACGGUCAGAUCACGUUGAAACACCGGUUCUCGACUAAUCACCGAAGUUAAGCAACGUCGAGCAUGGUCAGUACCUAGAUGGGUGAUAGCUAUGGAAUACCAGAUGA